rnacentral:lncRNA from 1 species
AAUUUCGAUCCCUUUCAAAAAUUGUGUGCUUGUUUUCAACUUAGUUUUUAAGAAGUGUGCAGAAUUUGAAUUAAGAUCAACGGUUCAUUCAUUAGUUAUUGAGGUUUAAUUUUGUUAUAGAAAUUACUAGGGUUUUUUUAGGGUUUGGUUUAGGGCUUAGGAUUUGUUUUAGGAUUUAGGAUUUGAUUUAGGAUUUAGGGUUUGUUUAGGGUUUGGUUAGGAUUUGGUUAGAGUUUGGUUAGGAUUUGGUUUAGGAUUUAAGAUUUGAUUUAGGAUAUAGGGUUUGAUUUAGGAAUUAAGAUUUUAUUAGGGUUUGUUUAAGAUUUAAGAUUUAAUUAGUUUUGGCCUAAAGUUUGAAUGAAGUCCAAUAGGAUUUUAACUAAGAUUAAAUUAAGAUUGAAUUGAGAUGUAUUUGAGAGAUAUUUGUGAUCAUUCUAAUAUUUUUUUUAAGAUUUCUUAUUGUUUCUUUGAAAUUUCUUUAAGGUUUCUUUGAAUUUGAUUAAAGCUUGCUUAGCAUUUUUAAGGUCUAAUUAAAGCAUUUUUAGUAUUCUAUUAGAAUUAGGAUUUUGUUGUUGCAAUUUCCAUUCUACCUUCCACAAUCAGGUGCCCGGAGCAUUCUCAAGCAAGACUUCACGUAUUAUGAUACGACACCAAAAGUUAAAUGCAAUGAAAGAAGAGAGGUGUUGUAAUACACACCUAAUGUGUAAUUGAUCCCUGCAUGUGUGCAAGCAAUACCAAUAUAUUCAUGUUCUCUAGAGGCCAAGUUUUCGAAACAAAAGGGAGCACUUCUUUGGGAGUCUCAAAAGAUAUUCCUACAAUUAUUGCACAACUAGGCAUCC